rnacentral:lncRNA from 1 species
UACUGGGUCACCACUGAACAUGGUCCAUAAUAUUUCUCCUCAAACUCAAAUGAAAAUUCAACUUGUUUUAUUUACUAGCUCAUAAAAUUCCUGAAGAUGGAUAAUUUUUUCUCAUGAACUUCCAGGAGCUGGUGUCAGCACACCACUGUUUGUCUGAUGAGUGAGUAACACUUCCUGGAGAAGGUGAAACCUCAAGUGAGUCUUAACAGAAAGCCAAAAAGAAGAGAUAGGGAGGAAGCGACACUGUGCCUUAUGAAAGUCUGGUUAUGAAAAACCUUCUAGAGAAUUAACUUUGAGUCAACAUUCCCUACUCCUGUUGUUUUGAGAAGGUAAGAUUUUUUUUUUCUCUCUCUUAAUGCACUUAAGUUUGAGAAAAGUUCACUCCAUAUUUUGGGCUUAUAUAAUUUUCUCCAGGCCCCCAAAUUAGCCCAUGAUUGCUUCAGUAUUCAUUUUCACUCGAUGCUCAUAAGAACCUACCAAGGCCAUGGUGUAUAACAUAAUCCCCUUAAUAUUCCUUACAUGUUUUUAAAAAGAAGGGCAACGAGUCAUUUUUAGGAUGCUUAACCAACUGAGAGAACAGACUGG